rnacentral:misc_RNA from 4 species
CCUUUUAAGGGAGACCCAGGAAGGAGUCAGGGAGAAACCCAAAACUAAAAACUCCCUUCAAUUAGACUCUGACCCAUCCCAGGUCGGACGAAGUAAUCACAGUUGGCUUUCAAACUAUUUUAGGUUCAUUUUAUUAGAGACAACUCAGCAAGAGACGAAAGUCAAGAUGCUGGGUGAAAGUCCAGCCAGAACCUUGAAAACUGCAUAGAGAAAAGUCAGGAAAGUCUAGUAUCAAACAAAGACUCAGGUCAAGCUACAAAGGGCUAAUGGUGGAUACCUAGGCACACAGAG